AGUGAACGCUGGCGGUAGGCCUAACACAUGCAAGUCGAACGGCAGCACAGUAAGAGCUUGCUCUUACGGGUGGCGAGUGGCGGAAGGGUGAGGAAUACAUCGGAAUCUACUUUUUCGUGGGGGAUAACGUAGGGAAACUUACGCUAAUACAGCAUACGACCUACGGGUGAAAGCAGGGGAUCUUCGGACCUUGCGCGAUUGAAUGAGCCGAUGUGGGAUUAGCUAGUUGGCGGGGUAAAGGCCCACCAAGGCGACGAUCCGUAGCUGGUCUGAGAGGAUGGUCAGCCACACUGGAACUGGGACACGGUCCAGACUCCUACGGGAGGCAGCAGUGGGGAAUAUUGGACAAUGGGCGCAAGCCUGAUCCAGCCAUACCGCGUGUGUGAAGAAGGCCUUCGGGUUGUAAAGCCCUUUUGUUGGGAAAGAAAAGCAGCAGGUUAAUACCCCGCUGUUCUGACGGUACCCAAAGAAUAAGCACCGGCUAACUUCGUG
rnacentral:rRNA from 1 species